AUAUCGACUCUCGGCAACGGAUAUCUAGGCUCUCGCAUCGAUGAAGAACGUAUCGAAUUGCGAUACUUGGUGUGAAUUGCAGAAUCCCGUGAACCAUCGAGUUUUUGAACGCAAGUUGCGCCCGAAGCCAUUAGGUUGAGGGCACGUCUGCCUGGGCGUCACGC
rnacentral:rRNA from 1 species